rnacentral:rRNA from 1 species
AUACGGAGGGGGCAAGCGUUAAUCGGAAUUACUGGGCGUAAAGCGCUCGUAGGCGGUUUGUUAAGUCGGAUGUGAAAGCCCCGGGCUCAACCUGGGAACUGCAUUCGAUACUGACAGACUAGAGUAUAGUAGAGGCAAGUGGAAUUCCGGGUGUAGCGGUGAAAUGCGUAGAUAUCCGGAGGAACAUCAGUGGCGAAGGCGACUUGCUGGACUAAUACUGACGCUGAGGAGCGAAAGCGUGGGGAGCAAACGGGAUUAGAUACCCCGGUAGUCC